CCUACGGGAGGCUGCAGUGGGGAAUAUUGCACGAUGGGCGCAAGCCUGAUGCAGCCAUGCCGCGUGUGUGAAGAAGGCCUUCGGGUUGUAAAGCACUUUCAGCGGGGAGGAAGGCGGUGAGGUUAAUAACCUCAUCGAUUGACGUUACCCGCAGAAGAAGCACCGGCUAACUCCGUGCCAGCAGCCGCGGUAAUACGGAGGGUGCAAGCGUUAAUCGGAAUUACUGGGCGUAAAGCGCACGCAGGCGGUCUGUCAAGUCGGAUGUGAAAUCCCCGGGCUCAACCUGGGAACUGCAUUCGAAACUGGCAGGCUAGAGUCUUGUAGAGGGGGGUAGAAUUCCAGGUGUAGCGGUGAAAUGCGUAGAGAUCUGGAGGAAUACCGGUGGCGAAGGCGGCCCCCUGGACAAAGACUGACGCUCAGGUGCGAAAGCGUGGGGAGCAAACAGGAUUAGAUACCCGGGUAGUC
rnacentral:rRNA from 1 species